UCCUGGCUUAGGAUGAACGCUAGCGGCAGGCUUAACACAUGCAAGUCGAGGGGCAUCGGGAGUAGCAAUACUGCCGGCGACCGGCGCAAGGGUGCGUAACGCGUGAGCAACAUGCCCGUAUCAGGGGGAUAAUCCAUGGAAACGUGGUCUAAUACCCCAUAGUAAUUAUGUAAGGCAUCUUAUAUAAUUUAAAGCUUUGGUGGAUACGGAUUGGCUCGCGUGACAUUAGCUAGAUGGUAAGGUAACGGCUUACCAUGGCUACGAUGUCUAGGGGUUCUGAGAGGAAGGUCCCCCACACUGGAACUGAGACACGGUCCAGACUCCUACGGGAGGCAGCAGUGAGGAAUAUUGGACAAUGGAUGAAAAUCUGAUCCAGCCAUGCCGCGUGCAGGAAGACGGCCCUAUGGGUUGUAAACUGCUUUUGUAUGGGAGCAAUAAGGGCUACGUGUAGUCCGAUGAGAGUACCAUACGAAUAAGCACCGGCUAACUCCGUGCCAGCCGCCGC
rnacentral:rRNA from 1 species